UUCGGAUUGUAGGCUGCAACUCGCCUACAUGAAGUCGGAAUUGCUAGUAAUCGCGGAUCAGCAUGCCGCGGUGAAUACGUUCCCGGGCCUUGUACACACCGCCCGUCACACCAUGGGAGUCGGUAACACCCGAAGCCUGUAGUCUAACCGCAAGGAGGACGCAGUCGAAGGUGGGAUUGAUGACUGGGGUGAAGUCGUAACAAGGUACC
rnacentral:rRNA from 1 species